CGCUCGGCUAGGGAUGUGUAAGAUGGCACACAGCCACACCCGAAAACAGGUUGGAGAUCACUCACGCUGGGCUGGUGGGAUGUAAGAUGGCACAGCCGCCCGGAAAACAGGUUGGAGAUCACUCAAACAGGUUGGAGAUCACUCACGCCAGACUGGUGGGAUGUUAAGAUGGCACAGCCGCCCGGAAAACAGGUUGGAGGUCACUCACACGGGGCUGGUGGGAUGUAAGAUGGCACAGCCACCCGGGAAACAGGUUGGAGAUCACUCACGCCGGGCUGGUGGGAUGUAAGACGGCACAGCCGCCCGGAAAACAGGUUGGAGAUCACUCACGCGGGGCUGGUGGGAUGUAAGAUGGCACAGCCGCCCGGAAAACAGGUUGGAGAUCACUCAAACAGGUUGGAGAUCACUCACGCCAGGCUGGUGCGAUGUAAGAUGGCACAGCCGCCCGGGAAACAGGUUGGAGAUCACUCAAACAGGUUGGAGAUCACCUGGCGCAGGGCUGGUGGGAUGUAAGAUGGCACAGCCGCCCGGAAAACAGGUUGGAGAUCACUCACACGGGGCUGGUGCGAUGCAAGAUGGUACAGCCGCCUGGAAAACAGGUUAGC
rnacentral:lncRNA from 1 species